GUCGCGGAGAACCUGAAGACAGCCAGGCGCAGGGGGCGGGCCACAGUGUACAGUGCGCGUGCGCGCGGAACACCAGCCGCGCGCCAGCGGCCCGCGGACGGCUUUUGCUGACCUUUACGAAGGGACAUGCUCUCCUGGACCCCUGGCCAUGGAACGGAUGCUGCCCACUGUUAAGAGGCUGCUGGUUUUUUCCCACACCUGAACCUGGAAAGAAAACAAUGGCUGAAGAAAAUUAAACAGUUAGGACUCUUCUCCUUAAAACACCAAACUGACAUCGGAAAACGUUUCCCCAUUCGACCAAGGAAAAACCUGUGAAUUCUAACUAAGGAGCCAAACAGGAGCAGACCUGACUUAGGAUUUGAGCUACUUGAUUAAACACAAAGCCUAGAAUCUAAGCUCUUCAGUUUCCAUGAAGAAAGGAUUGAGGGGUAGCAGGAAGUUCAUGGCAAUACUGAAGAAUUAUACUGAGAAAUCAGAAUGAUUAGAUGUAUUACCAAAUGCAGGUGCCUGUACAGAUUUGUGACAGACCAGUAUCUGCACAUACGGACUUAGCUUUAUUAUGGCCAGCCACGGCUAAGACUUUAUCUCACAGAACCCCCAGGCAGCCACGUGAAAUAUUCCCAUGUAAUAAAUGGAAGACCGACGGUUGAGAAGACAAAUAAUUCUCUAUUAAUUAACUUAUGCCAUACGUUGGGAAUUUGGAGCUAGGCCGAUGCAGCUCAGAGUCUCAGUUUCUCCAUCUAGCCGCUGAGCUUUACGCCUCUUUGGUCUUUGCCUUUGGGUCCUGGCACUGAGCUCCGGAAUCUCUUGUGGUCUCCUGAGUGAUGGGGUGAUGUGUUGUUUUGGUUCUAUGAGGGGCGCUUAGCUAGCCCAGCAUGGGGACCGGCUGCCAGAAGGAAGAAGCCUUCAUCUAAGAGCACAGACCUUUGUGGAUUUGCUCUCUCAGCCUCUGCAGAGAAGGGCAGGGUGGGGAUAGAGUGAGUGAUCAGUCAAGCCCACAGGAUGGAGAAUGUGCAUCCAGUGGGGUUUGGGGAGCUCCUGAACCACGGCCUGCCUCUGCUGUCAGGGGGGCAGUAGCCCCACACUCAGGGUUUCCAGCACCCACCUGCCUGUAUUCUUCCUAAGACAGUGCUGACGGCUGGUGAGGGAAACGUUCCCUAAACUGUGAGGCUUCCUAACAAAUGGCUGAACACAAAGAUGGGAGCUGUGGGACCCCAAGACUUUUGUAGCCAAGUCAAACAUUAGUGAGAACGACUUGUGGCUGGCAUCCACAGUUUGAGAAAGGAGUGGGAUUGGGCCCUCAGACCUGGGGGGUCUGAUGCUAGGUGUGGUGUCAGAAUUGAGCCGGAUUGUGGAAACACCCAGAUUUGUGUGUGUGUGUGUGUGUGUGUGUGUGUGUGUGUGUGUGUGUGUGUGUAUGUAGGUGCAUGUUGGGUGUCUUCACCUUAGUUUUUGAGACAG